AGAAAACAGAGUCAUGGAGACCUUAGAGAAAGGGACAGAGCUCAGCACUGACACAAUCCAGACAACUGACACUGGGAGCAACUCUUACUGUAUCUCACCCACAGCUUGAAGAAGAGUGCUCCACUGGGAGUUGCAGCAGUAAUCACAAGAGGAAAGAAAGGAACUUGUUCAUUCAAACAGAAAGACAGUGGAACAAUGAGAUGGACACCUGCAGUUUAAACUUCCAUCAACUGGGAAAGUUGCACCCUAGAAACAGAGGUUUGAGUUCCAUUCUCUGCUCUUGUUAAAGGGAUUGCCCCAAUAAAUUCAGUUUUCUAAUCUCAGCCAUUGCUAAUUUCAAACUCACUUCUAUGGUACAGUGUCACAGUUUGUAUGGCAAGUCUUAAUAAGGUGCUGCAGCUGCCCUAGCCUGCUGCAUCUCCCUGCCUCUGGCCACACAUUCCCAGUAGCUUCCUUGCUUUAAUCACAAUGCAACUUGGAAUGUGAGCAAAACCUAGCACUGUCACCACAAUAAAAGCUGAACUGAGUGGACUCUG